GGCCAGUUACGCGAAGUCCGCGACAAGGUCUUCAAAACCGUUGAGGGGGUGCUGAGCCCCCUGGCGGGUUCGAUUCCCGUCCG
rnacentral:tRNA from 1 species